rnacentral:rRNA from 1 species
UACGUAGGCAGCAAGCGUUGUUCGGAGUUACUGGGCGUAAAGAGUAUGUAGGCGGUUGGUAAGUUUGGUGUGAAAUCUCCCGGCUUAACUGGGAGGUGCGCUAAAGACUGCCUGGCUCGAGUGUGGGAGAGGAAAGCGGAAUUCCGUGGUGUAGCGGUGAAAUGCGUAGAUAUCAGGAGGAACACCUGCGGUGUAGACGGCUUUCUGGACCAUAACUGACGCUGAGAUACGAAAGCGUGGGUAGCAAACAGG